ACUACCAAUAAUCAUAGCAGAGUCAUAGACCCAAAGGGGUCUAGACGUCAAGGGGGUCUAUGACUCUGUCAUCACCCAACAUGGCAACAUUGGCAUUCGCCGCCUGGCGGCUAUUCAAAGAAAGCUUAUAUAAGGACUUCUACCAAGUUCAUGGGUCUUUUGGUUCCAGACUUUCUGCGAUGCACUAGAUCUGGUUGAAAUCUACACUUGACAAUUUUAUUUUACCAGUAUGCGGUCGCUAAUACGGUAGUUUUAUUUAGUAUAGUUCUUGGAGUAACCUUCUACACUGAAGGAUCUUUCUGCUUAAGGUUGUUCUUAAUACACGUGAAUUUCAAUUGCUUGGCUGUAACUUGUGCUGAACUGCACCUUGCAUUUUUAUACUUUUAUUCCAGAAUUUGGUUGCACCAUGGAUAUUUAGAUUCCAGACUGUUAAGAUAAUAUGCAAGAACUUUGUCAAAUAGUUGCUUAUAGUUGCUUCUUUAUCUACUUCGACUACAUAAUUCAUUAGGUUUUGGGUAGUUGCCUUGAAUAUUAAUUUGGGGCCUCCAAGUAGGCAUGUGGCUGUGGGUGCUAUCUUCUCCUGCUUCUCCCUGUUCUAGCAGAAGGGUGUGUUCCGUUUAGUGGCGUAUACUACCUCCGAGCAGAACUAGAAGGUGAAUAAGGAGCAUUCUUUAAAUUUAGCGUAGCUUAUUUUGCAGCAUACAACUGACCAAAACAGUGGAAUCUUAUGGCCACCUGGAAUCGAUAGUAGUGUUGGGCCCAUUGAACAGUAUUUUGGGGUGUUUGAUACAGAGUUGUAAAAGCAUCUGGUGACGGUGGCGCCAGCUCGCCGUGAGUUGGCAGCAAAGAAUCUUGCGUUACAAGUCAAUAGUUCAAUCACGGACGCAACGGCGUCCAUAUUGCUCCGUAUUCAGUGAAUCUAUUACGGUUUUGGGUGUUUGUGUUGCGUUUUGUGAGUUGGAUGAAACAUUGCUGAUGUGGCAUACAUAAGACUCGUGGUGCGUUAUUGGACACGAAUGUUGUAAUGUUAUUGGUGAUGCGUUUCUUGGUUUGGAAUGCUAUGAAGUGGAACUUGUUCGUGGAGUCGUUUUCAGUACUGGUCAGUACCUUCGUGCUGAAUUUGAACGAUGUUAGCAACCAAAUUUGUGGAUUGAACGUAAAAUUAUGGAAGUUAGAAGGGUCUUUGGAGUUUUGUUCAAUUUUAUUUUCUCUGUAGUGUAAAAAAAAAAAAAUUUAAUCUUGUUUUCUGUGGCUUUGUUUCAUGUUGACUUGUGAAAACCUAGGUGUAGAUAAUUUUAUUGGAUAAAGUAAGAGUUUUCCGGAUAGGAAAAGAAGGGUCUCGGUAUACGGAAUAGUUAUUAAGGGAAUUUGAACUGAUAACUGAGUUUUCCGUAAAUUAACUAUGGCUUGGGUGAAAUCUCAAUGUUUAUGUCAACAUGUUUUAACCAGCGUUGUAAUCUACUAAUUUAUUAUGUCAGUUUACUUUAUUAAUGUAUACCUAUCAGUGAAAAUAAAUCUUAAAUUACCCCAUUA